rnacentral:rRNA from 2 species
GAUGAACGCUAGCUACAGGCUUAACACAUGCAAGUCGAGGGGCAGCAUGGUCUUAGCUUGCUAAGGCCGAUGGCGACCGGCGCACGGGUGAGUAACACGUAUCCAACCUGCCGUCUACUCUUGGACAGCCUUCUGAAAGGAAGAUUAAUACAAGAUGGCAUCAUGAGUCCGCAUGUUCACAUGAUUAAAGGUAUUCCGGUAGACGAUGGGGAUGCGUUCCAUUAGAUAGUAGGCGGGGUAACGGCCCACCUAGUCUUCGAUGGAUAGGGGUUCUGAGAGGAAGGUCCCCCACAUUGGAACUGAGACACGGUCCAAACUCCUACGGGAGGCAGCAGUGAGGAAUAUUGGUCAAUGGGCGAGAGCCUGAACCAGCCAAGUAGCGUGAAGGAUGACUGCCCUAUGGGUUGUAAACUUCUUUUAUAAAGGAAUAAAGUCGGGUAUGCAUACCCGUUUGCAUGUACUUUAUGAAUAAGGAUCGGCUAACUCCGUGCCAGCAGCCGCGGUAAUACGGAGGAUCCGAGCGUUAUCCGGAUUUAUUGGGUUUAAAGGGAGCGUAGAUGGAUGUUUAAGUCAGUUGUGAAAGUUUGCGGCUCAACCGUAAAAUUGCAGUUGAUACUGGAUAUCUUGAGUGCAGUUGAGGCAGGCGGAAUUCGUGGUGUAGCGGUGAAAUGCUUAGAUAUCACGAAGAACUCCGAUUGCGAAGGCAGCCUGCUAAGCUGCAACUGACAUUGAGGCUCGAAAGUGUGGGUAUCAAACAGG